rnacentral:rRNA from 1 species
AUGGUGAGGGCUCCUUGCUGCGAGAAGAUGGGGCUCAAGAGGGGCCCGUGGACGGCGGAGGAGGACAUGACCCUGGUCGCUCACAUCGAGCAGCACGGGCACAGCAACUGGCGGGCGCUGCCGAAGCAGGCCGGCCUGCUGCGCUGCGGCAAGAGCUGCCGCCUCCGGUGGAUUAACUACCUGCGCCCCGACAUCAAGCGCGGCAACUUCACCAGCGACGAGGAAGAAGCCAUCAUCCAACUCCACGCCAUGCUCGGCAACAGAUGGUCCACCAUUGCGGCCAGGCUGCCUGGCAGGACGGACAACGAGAUCAAGAACGUCUGGCACACACACCUCAAGAAGCGAUUCGAAUCCUCGUCCAAGCCGUCCGGCCAGGCAGCGCCUAAGCGCAAAGCCAAGAAGCCUGCUGUGGCUGCGACUGCGAGCGCGCUAGAGGGACCGACCUCCGAGCCGGCGGCGUCGUCACCGGGGCAGUCCCUCUCCAUGUCGCCGGGGCAGUCCCUCUCGACGUCGUCCGCCGCUGACUACUCGAUGGCCUCGUCGUUGGAGAACACGGGCAGCUCUUCCUCGGAGUCGGAGGAGUUCCAGAUUGAUGACAGCUUCUGGUCGGAGACACUGGCGAUGUCGGUGCACAGCUCCGGUUCCGGGAUGGAAACCAGCGACACCUUCGGCGUAGAUAGUGCAUCGCCGUCGUCGAGCAACGAUGAGAUGGACUUCUGGGUCACACUGUUCAUGCAGGCUGGUGACAUACAGAGUUUGUCGCAGAUUUAG